rnacentral:rRNA from 1 species
GAUGAACGCUGGCGGCGUGCUUAACACAUGCAAGUCGAACGAAGCACUUCAUAAAGCUUGCUUUAAGAAGUGACUUAGUGGCGGACGGGUGAGUAACGCGUGGGUAACCUGCCUUACACAGGGGGAUAACAGUUAGAAAUGACUGCUAAUACCGCAUAAAACAGCAGAGUCGCAUGACUCAACUGUCAAAGAUUUAUCGGUGUAAGAUGGACCCGCGUCUGAUUAGCUUGUUGGUGGGGUAACGGCCUACCAAGGCGACGAUCAGUAGCCGGCCUGAGAGGGUGAACGGCCACAUUGGGACUGAGACACGGCCCAAACUCCUACGGGAGGCAGCAGUGGGGAAUAUUGGACAAUGGGCGAAAGCCUGAUCCAGCGACGCCGCGUGAGCGAUGAAGUAUUUCGGUAUGUAAAGCUCUAUCAGCAGGGAAGAAAACGACGGUACCUGACUAAGAAGCCCGGCUAACUACGUG